CCUAGCAUCUGGAUGGUUGGGAACAUUAGCAGUAUGGGCAUAGGACUUCAUUUUAGGAGCAGUAGAUGUUGCAAAAGUAGCCUUUCCUCUUAGGUGAGUGGCCAUAGAUCUCCACAAAUUCUGCAACGUUGAAAUAAGACGGUCAAGCCAUGUCAUGUACUUCAAAAACACACACUAGAUAAAAACAGGAAGCAAUAUACAGUUUAGUAGCAAUACUUUCUGAACUUCUGUAUGCCAUGAUGAUUGAAAGUCUGGAGAUUAAUUGAUACGAAUAUAUAUUUUUAGAGGCUUAAGGGAAAGGGAAAAUUAAGUCGGUUUUAACUUGCUGUUAUUGUGUCCAAUAUUUG
rnacentral:lncRNA from 1 species